UGUAAAAUUUUAAAGGUCGAACAGACCUAAUAUUUUAGCUUCUACACCAAAAAUUUAUUUUAAUCCAACAUCGAGGUCGCAAUCUUUUUUUUUAAUAUGAACUUUAUAAAAAAAUUACGCUGUUAUCCCUAAGGUAAUUUUAUCUUAUAAUCAAAAAUAUUGGRUCAUAUACUCAUAAAUUAAUGUUUUUAAAUAAAAAAAGUUAAUUAAAUUUUUCAAUCACCCCAAUUAAAUUUUCCAAUAAAAUAAAUAAAUAAAUACUAAAAUAUAAUUUUUAUUAAAAAAUUAAACUCUAUAGGGUCUUCUCGUCUUUUAAUAUUAUUUAAGCUUUUUAACUUAAAAAUAAAAUUCUACUUAAAUUUAACAGAGACAGCUAUUUUUUUAUUCAACCUUUCAUUCCAGUUUUUAAUUAAAAAACUAAUGAUUAUGCUACCUUAGCACGGUCAAAAUACCACGGCCAUUUAAAAUUUCAGUGGGCAGGUUAGACCUUAAAUUAUUAACAAAAGGAC
rnacentral:rRNA from 1 species